rnacentral:rRNA from 1 species
GACGAAGGAUGCAAGCGUUAUCCGGAUUCAUUGGGUUUAAAGGGUGCGUAGGCGGACUUGUAAGUCAGUGGUGAAAUCUCUUCGCUUAACGAAGAAACUGCCAUUGAUACUGCAGGUCUAGAGUAUAGAUGACGUUGGCGGAAUAUGACAUGUAGUGGUGAAAUACUUAGAUAUGUCAUAGAACACCGAUUGCGAAGGCAGCUAACGAAACUAUAACUGACGCUGAGGCACGAAAGUGCGGGGGAUCAAAACAGG